rnacentral:rRNA from 1 species
UCGCUGUGAAGAUGCAGUGUACCCGCGGCAAGACGGAAAGACCCCGUGAACCUUUACUAUAGCUUGACACUGAACAUUGAGCCUUGAUGUGUAGGAUAGGUGGGAGGCUUUGAAGUGUGGACGCCAGUCUGCAUGGAGCCGACCUUGAAAUACCACCCUUUAAUGUUUGAUGUUCUAACGUUGACCCGUAAUCCGGGUUGCGGACAGUGUCUGGUGGGUAGUUUGACUGGGGCGGUCUCCUCCUAAAGAGUAACGGAGGAGCACGAAGGUUGGCUAAUCCUGGUCGGACAUCAGGAGGUUAGUGCAAUGGCAUAAGCCAGCUUGACUGCGAGCGUGACGGCGCGAGCAGGUGCGAAAGCAGGUCAUAGUGAUCCGGUGGUUCUGAAUGGAAGGGCCAUCGCUCAACGGAUAAAAGGUACUCCGGGGAUAACAGGCUGAUACCGCCCAAGAGUUCAUAUCGACGGCGGUGUUUGGCACCUCGAUGUCGGCUCAUCACAUCCUGGGGCUGAAGUAGGUCCCAAGGGUAUGGCUGUUCGCCAUUUAAAGUGGUACGCGAGCUGGGUUUAGAACGUCGUGAGACAGUUCGGUCCCUAUCUGCCGUGGGCGCUGGAGAACUGAGGGGGG